UUUAAGCAAAACAUCUUGAUUAUUGAUAAGUGUUAUCCAGAACUUUCAUGGCAUGUUUAAGAGCUUGGAAGCAAGGCUGGAGACUUGAAGAAAAAAUGUAACUCUCUGCCUAACAAUGAUUGAUUGUGUUGAUAAUAUUUAUGACCUUGCUGGUAAGAAGUUAAAUUCCCUAAAAAGAACAGGACAGUGGGUUGGGAAGGUAUGCUGAGGAAUGUGCACACCAUAAACUUCAGCUACUGUACAACUAUGUGACUUCAGGGUUUUUUUGGCUUGAUGGGCCCAAAUCCAACAGUAGUGUCCAGGCAAAGGUAAGCUCAGGGGUACAACGACUGGAAGGUGUUUGGAAAUUCCAGCUUCUCCUGAAGUCUCAUCAGAACACGCUCAGCCACCUUGUUAAAACUCUGGUCGUCACUGCUGGCAGAACAAAAAAAGAAAAACAGGUGCUCUAGGUUCUUGUGGAUCAGUACCAAGUGUAGAGCUCAUGUCAGCCUCGUCCUCUGGCCUCUGCUGCAAAUACAAAGCUUUCAAGGGGUUCAUGGUCCAGUCGAAAAGAGGAUCAUAGAGCAGCACCUACACAGUAAAUAAACCUCUUUUUAAUUUCAGCUGUUCAUUAGAGCUAGUUCAGUGCCCUAGCACUGUUGGAAAUGCUAACCACAAUAUUAGGAGAGUGAGUGUUUUGCUUUGUUUUUAUUUUUUUUCAAAUCAAUAGAAUUGGGCUAAAUUGGUUAGUAAAUAAUCCAGCAACAAAACUGCCUCUGAGCAUUUACAAGUAUUUGUGUUGUUCAUAUUUCACAAAGUUUUUCCAUCAGUCCCACCCACCUCAGCAGUGAAUUUUUUAAUACACUGCUAGCACUAAAGAGAAUCAUUAGCUUUUAAUGCACAGUGUAACCUGCUUUCAAAAAUCAGUUUAAUUCUCUUCUUUAUGACUUAAGCAAAGAGGAUUUAAUUCAAUCAGUAUUACUCCUGCUGGGAAUACUGCACUAUGGCUAGAAGCACAUAGGUGUUGAAGAGGGAGAACUGCCUGAAGGAAACACUUUCCACAGAAAAUGCAAACUGG